CCCAAAGUUCCAAAUUCCAAAGCCAAGAAGAGCCUUUGUCUCUACAAAAUGUCACCAGUCUCAAUCACCAUCUUCUUCAUGUUCCCUGUAUCUUAUUGCCUCAGCUGAAGGCCACCACACUACUGUUACCUGCUGCAGAAACCUCGUAUCAAUCCAUACCUAUCAGCAGAUAACUUCUGAUAAAUGUAGCUCUCACCACUCAUCAAAGAGACUUCUCUUUAUAAAAGACGGAGACCAUUUCAGAAAUCUGGUAAAAAUACAGACAACAAGGGGGUGCUCAGCUGCAAUUGAUACAUCUACAACAUAACUCCCGUACCUAAGGCUCAGGAAACAUCUCCACGGACAAGACUGAAAGACUGUAAGAGCCAGAGGAUCGGGAAAUCUGCUAUUAUGUCUCCUAGAAACGACAAGGAGCCUUCACCCACGACACCUCAACAAUGUGGUGGCCUAUACAAGACCUGAAGAAGUAAAACACUAACAGCCAUGCUGACAUGGAGGGAGUAAUCUCACAGCCUCCACAGACAAGAACUACAGGCAGCUAAGGAACGCUCAAAGGAGAAAGUCUUCCCCAGGGAUGAGCCCCAAAUUGGCUGACCAAUACCAAGUGCUCAGCCUUCAAAUUAUAUAGAUAUAUGUAACACUAAACAGACUGGUCAGGUUGUAUUUGUAUAUUUAAGGAAAUAUACUUUUUCUUUUUUUGGUGUGUAUAAACCAACAAUGAAGAAAGAGAUCAUGAUUUAUUUCAAGUGGGGAACAAGCCUUGGGAACAUGAAAGGGACUGAAGGGAAGAAAGGGAAGGGGGGAAAUUAUGUAAUUUUAAUUUAAAAAUGUGAUUUAAAAAACCUUAUGGUAUAAGCUGAGCAUGCCCAGAGACAUUUCUGCCCAUUGCUUUAAUCUUUUACACACUGUAUCAUGACUUUAAACUAAGCAUUGUCCAAAAUAUAUCUAUUGUCUUUUCUUUUUAAAUUUUAACAUUAAACUAAGCAUACACAGAAA